CAGUGCAAAAUUAAAUUGCCAAAAUUAGAAGGCUAUGAGACAUGGACAAGUUGUUAAAACCCUGAUACCAUAUAAUCUUCUCAUAGCAAGCCAAAAAAAAAAAAAAAAAAAAAGUUUACAAUCAUUUUUUGGGGUGCCCCUUUCCCGCCACUGGCGAAGAAGCAGAAACGAUGGAGUUGAGUCUGAGCGGGAAUGCCCUCAAGACCUUCGCACGCUCCGUCACGUGCCUCGCGCGUGUCGGCAACGAGCUCGCCAUUCAAGCUUCUCCUUCUCAGCUUGCUCUUCACACUCUCAAUUCGUCGCGAUCAGCGUUUCAGUCGAUUACAUUUAAAUCCGGGUUCUUUGAUGUCUAUACUAUUACUGGUAACCAAGUGGAAUGCAGUGUGCUUUUGAAGGCUGUUUGUUCAGUACUCAGGACGCCUAUAGCGAGCGUGGAUAAUUUGAGAAUCAAAUUGCCCUAUCCCGAUGCAUCAAAAAUGCAGUGGACAUUGGAGUGCUUCAAUGGAAUGAGAAAGGCUUAUUGGAUUACUUGCAAUGUUGAACCAAACAUACAGCAUUUGUCUCUUGACAGGAGAAGAUUCCCAAGUAAUUUUCUAGUGAGGCCUCGAGAUCUCAACAGAUUGCUUGCUAAUUUUCAGUCGUCCCUUCAAGAGAUCACCAUCAUAGCAACAGAACCAAAUUCCUUGCCUUCUGAUGUAGCAAGUGAAAUUGGAGGGAAAGCUGUUGAGCUUAGGAGUUAUAUAGACCCAACAAAAGACAAUGACUUGUCACUACACACUCAACUAUGGAUAGAUCCCAUGGAAGAGUUUCUUCAAUACACUCACACUGGAGACCCUGUAGACGUCACAUUUGGUGUGAAGGAAUUGAAGGCGUUUCUUUCUUUCUGUGAAGGCUGUGAAGUUGACAUUCACUUAUAUUUUGAGAAAGCUGGCGAGCCUAUACUUAUGGCACCAAAAUUUGGCCUCGAUGAUGGUUCCAGUUCAAACUUUGAUGCUACACUUGUACUUGCAACCAUGCUAGUGUCACAGCUCCAUGACCAUCCCUCAGAGCCUGCACAAGCUGCUGCUACAACGCCUGCACAGACUGAGAAAAGGGCAGGGUCUCAAGCACAAGUCAGGUCUGGAGCAAAUAUUUCACAGCAUCCAUCUGAUCACACCAAAAUUUGGUCCGAUCUUUCGGGAAGUGCCAACAGAAAUGGAAAUGGCACUGAACGUAGACAGUUCCAAGAAGAAAGAAAUUUAGAUGCUAGUGGACAGAGAGAAAUUACAAGGCUUAGUGCAAUGCAUAUCUCAAAAGCUGCACCAGAUAGAGAAAAUGAACCCAUCAUUUCUGAUACCUUCCACAUGGAAAAAGGCCUUGCAGAAGAACCUCAAGAUCGGUCAGAAUUAAAUGUUCAAGAUAUUUCACAACGCCAUCGCAGUAAUUGGGUUGAUGCCAAUGAAGAUGAUGAGGAUGAUGAUGGUGAUGAGAAUGGACUUUAUGUUCAGUCGACACCAACAUAUAAUGAAGAACAUUAGAGCUUCAAGUUCAAUGUUGUUAUUGUUAGCUGAUCUAAUUUUGUUCUCCCGCUCUCUUGUGAUGAUGCUAAGCUUUUUGUUUGAGAGUGAAACUGCUGAAAAGGCCUUUUGCAUUUGGACGUGUAGAAGGAAGUGAAAAUAUAGCAGAACUGGUAACAAGUUGACCAUAAAUUGAGUGUCUGUGUAUAGCAAAAGACAUUCAUACAUGCAUGGAUAUCGUAUCAUAUUCUUUGUUGCCUUGGGUAAAUAAUGAGCUAUAUGACCAGUAUUCUAUAUCAGUUAACUGUACCUUUUUACAGAUUACUACCUUAGAUGGGUACCUAUUAUGAUAAGUCACUCUUCAGUUUGUUGAUUCUGAAAUAUAUGAAAUCUGCUGAUGGGACCCAUUAACCUCUAGUUGCCUUGGAAAAUGAGGAUUUUGUGUUCUCUCAUUUAUGAUGUGUUUGCAUGAUCUCUGAACAAGGCUUACAUUACAGGAUGCCAUUUGGUUACCUAUAUCAGCCACUGAUACUAUCUGUCUCUUGUUUAUUUAUUUAU